UACGUAGGGUGCAAGCGUUAAUCGGAAUUACUGGGCGUAAAGCGUGCGCAGGCGGUUCGCCAAGUCAGGUGUGAAAGCCCCGGGCUCAACCUGGGAAUGGCGAUGGAAACUGGCGGGCUGGAGUAUGGCAGAGGGGGGUGGAAUUCCGCGUGUAGCAGUGAAAUGCGUAGAGAUGCGGAGGAACACCGAUGGCGAAGGCAGCCCCCUGGGCCAAUACUGACGCUCAGGCACGAAAGCGUGGGGAGCAAACAGG
rnacentral:rRNA from 1 species